rnacentral:rRNA from 1 species
CACCUACGGGAGGCAGCAGUGGGGAAUUUUGGACAAUGGGCGCAAGCCUGAUCCAGCAAUGCCGCGUGCAGGAUGAAGGCCUUCGGGUUGUAAACUGCUUUUGUACGGAACGAAAAGGUUCUCUCUAAUACAGGGGGCAUAUGACGGUACCGUAAGAAUAAGCACCGGCUAACUACGUGCCAGCAGCCGCGGUAAUACGUAGGGUGCGAGCGUUAAUCGGAAUUACUGGGCGUAAAGCGUGCGCAGGCGGUUUUGUAAGACAGAGGUGAAAUCCCCGGGCUCAACCUGGGAACUGCCUUUGUGACUGCAAGGCUGGAGUGCGGCAGAGGGGGAUGGAAUUCCGCGUGUAGCAGUGAAAUGCGUAGAUAUGCGGAGGAACACCGAUGGCGAAGGCAAUCCCCUGGGCCUGCACUGACGCUCAUGCACGAAAGCGUGGGGAGCAAACAGGAUUAGAUACCCUGGUAGUCCACGCCCUAAACGAUGUCAACUGGUUGUUGGGGGUUAAUUCACUCAGUAACGAAGCUAACGCGUGAAGUGACCGC